UUGGGCGUAAAGAGCUCGUAGGCGGUUUGUCGCGUCUGCCGUGAAAGUCCGAGGCUCAACCUCGGAUCUGCGGUGGGUACGGGCAGACUAGAGUGAUGUAGGGGAGACUGGAAUUCCUGGUGUAGCGGUGAAAUGCGCAGAUAUCAGGAGGAACACCGAUGGCGAAGGCAGGUCUCUGGGCAUCUACUGACGCUGAGGAGCGAAAGCAUGGGGAGCGAACAGGAUUAGAUACCCUGGUAGUCCAUGCCGUAAACGUUGGGCACUAGGUGUGGGGAACAUUCCACGUUUUCCGCGCCGUAGCUAACGCAUUAAGUGCCCCGCCUGGGGAGUACGGCCGCAAGGCUAAAACUCAAAGGAAUUGACGGGGGCCCGCACAAGCGGCGGAGCAUGCGGAUUAAUUCGAUGCAACGCGAAGAACCUUACCAAGGCUUGACAUGUUCCAGACCGCCUCAGAGAUGGGGUUUCCCUUCGGGGCUGGUUCACAGGUGGUGCAUGGUUGUCGUCAGCUCGUGUCGUGAGAUGUUGGGUUAAGUCCCGCAACGAGCGCAACCCUCGUUCCAUGUUGCCAGCACGUAAAGGUGGGGACUCAUGGGAGACUGCCGGGGUCAACUCGGAGGAAGGUGGGGAUGACGUCAAAUCAUCAUGCCCCUUAUGUCUUGGGCUUCACGCAUGCUACAAUGGCCGGUACAAUGGGUUGCGAUACUGUGAGGUGGAGCUAAUCCCUAAAAGCCGGUCUCAGUUCGGAUUGGGGUCUGCAACUCGACCCCAUGAAGUCGGAGUCGCUAGU
rnacentral:rRNA from 1 species